rnacentral:rRNA from 1 species
CAAGCCGGAAACGGGACUGCUAAUACCGCAUAAUGCAGCGGCUCGACAUCGAGACAGUUGUUAAAGCGGGGGACCGGAGCAAUCCGACCUCGCGCCUAAAGAGGAGCCUGCGGCAGAUUAGCUAGUUGGCAGGGUAAUGGCCUACCAAGGCGACGAUCUGUAACCGGCCUGAGAGGGCGGUUGGUCACACUGACACUGACAUACGGGUCAG